UUCUACAGCCAUACCACCCCGAAUGCACUUGAUCUCAUCUGAUCUCAGAAGCUAAUCAGGGUCGCACAGUUGGUUAGUACAACAGAAAUAAAUAAAGAGAUAGGCUGUCAUUU
ensembl:rRNA 5S_rRNA 5S ribosomal RNA